rnacentral:rRNA from 1 species
GGGGAUAACUCCCGGGAAACCGGGGCUAAUACCGGAUGGUUGUUUGAACCGCAUGGUUCAGACAUAAAAGGUGGCUUCGGCUACCACUUACAGAUGGACCCGCGGCGCAUUAGCUAGUUGGUGAGGUAACGGCUCACCAAGGCRACGAUGCGUAGCCGACCUGAGAGGGUGAUCGGCCACACUGGGACUGANACACGGCCCAGACUCCUACGGGAGGCAGCAGUAGGGAAUCUUCCGCAAUGGACGAAAGUCUGACGGAGCAACGCCGCGUGAGUGAUGAAGGUUUUCGGAUCGUAAAGCUCUGUUGUUAGGGAAGAACAAGUGCCGUUCAAAUAGGGCGGCACCUUGACGGUACCUAACCAGAAAGCCACGGCUAACUACGUGCCAGCAGCCGCGGUAAUACGUAGGUGGCAAGCGUUGUCCGGAAUUAUUGGGCGUAAAGGGCUCGCAGGCGGUUUCUUAAGUCUGAUGUGAAAGCCCCCGGCUCAACCGGGGAGGGUCAUUGGAAACUGGGGAACUUGAGUGCAGAAGAGGAGAGUGNAAUUCCACGUGUAGCGGUGAAAUGCGUAGAGAUGUGGAGGAACACCAGUGGCGAAGGCGACUCUCUGGUCUGUAACUGACGCUGAGGAGCGAAAGCGUGGGGAGCGAACAGGAUUAGAUACCCUGUGUAGUCCACGCUCGUAAACGAUGAGUGCUAAGGUGUUAGGGGGUUUCCUGCCCCUUAGUGCUGCAGCUAACGCAUUAAGCACUCCGCCUGGGGAGUACGGUCGCAAGACUGAAACUCAAAGGAAUUGACGGGGGCCCGCACNAGCGGUGGAGCAUGUGGUUUAAUUCGAAGCAACGCGAAGAACCUUACCAGGUCUUGACAUCCUCUGACAAUCCUAGAGAUAGGACGUCCCCUUCGGGGGCAGAGUGACAGGUGGUGCAUGGUUGUCGUCAGCUCGUGUCGUGAGAUGUUGGGUUAAGUCCCGCAACGAGCGCAACCCUUGAUCUUAGUUGCCAGCAUUCAGUUGGGCACUCUAAGGUGACUGCCGGUGACAAACCGGAGGAAGGUGGGGAUGACGUCAAAUCAUCAUGCCCCUUAUGACCUGGGCUACACACGUGCUACAAUGGNCAGAACAAAGGGCAGCGAAACCGCGAGGUUAAGCCAAUCCCACAAAUCUGUUCUCAGUUCGGAUCGCAGUCUGCAACUCGACUGCGUGAAGCGGAAUCGCUAGUAAUCGCGGAUCCAGCNAUGCCAGNGGUGUAAUG